rnacentral:rRNA from 1 species
GAUGAACGCUGGCGGCGUGCCUAAUACAUGCAAGUCGAGCGAACAGACGAGGAGCUUGCUCCUCUGACGUUAGCGGCGGACGGGUGAGUAACACGUGGAUAACCUACCUAUAAGACUGGGAUAACUUCGGGAAACCGGAGCUAAUACCGGAUAAUAUAUUGAACCGCAUGGUUCAGUAGUGAAAGACGGUUUUGCUGUCACUUAUAGAUGGAUCCGCGCCGCAUUAGCUAGUUGGUAAGGUAACGGCUUACCAAGGCAACGAUGCGUAGCCGACCUGAGAGGGUGAUCGGCCACACUGGAACUGAGACACGGUCCAGACUCCUACGGGAGGCAGCAGUAGGGAAUCUUCCGCAAAGGGCGAAAGCUUGACGGAGCAACGCCGCGUGAGUGAUGAAGGUCUUCGGAUCGUAAAACUCUGUUAUUAGGGAAGAACAAAUGUGUAAGUAACUAUGCACGUCUUGACGGUACCUAAUCAGAAAGCCACGGCUAACUACGUG